rnacentral:rRNA from 1 species
GCGUUGUCCGGAUUUAUUGGGCGUAAAGAGCGCGUAGGCGGCUCGGUAAGCCGGAUGUGAAACCUCCAAGCUCAACUUGGAGCGGCCAUUCGGAACUGCUGUGGCUAGAGUCUGGUAGGGGAACACGGAAUUCCUGGUGUAGCGGUGAAAUGCUUAGAUAUCAGGAGGAACACCAGUGGCGAAGGCGGUGUUCUGGGCCAGUACUGACGCUGAGGCGCGAAAGCGU